rnacentral:rRNA from 1 species
UACGUAGGGUGCAAGCGUUGUCCGGAAUUAUUGGGCGUAAAGAGCUCGUAGGCGGUCUGUCGCGUCUGCUGUGAAAACCUAGGGCUCAACUCCGGAUCUGCGGUGGGUACGGGCAGACUAGAGUGAUGUAGGGGAGACUGGAAUUCCUGGUGUAGCGGUGAAAUGCGCAGAUAUCAGGAGGAACACCGAUGGCGAAGGCAGGUCUCUGGGCAUUAACUGACGCUGAGGAGCGAAAGCAUGGGGAGCGAACAGG